rnacentral:lncRNA from 1 species
AUUCUCCUUGAUUCUCAGGAGCAGUUCUCUGAUCUCAUCUGCAAACUCUUUUGAUACUUUGGGAUAGAAUUUGUAUUAACAGAAGUUUUGAAGUCAUUCAGAAUGCCACAUGACCAACGUGGGGUCACCAAUUGGAACAGGGAAGAGAUGUGCACAAUGGCCCUCUCUCCAGCUUGUGUGAGCCGGCUCCAACACACAUCCUGUGGAGCGAGAGUUUGGUUGAAAUUUUUAAAAAAUGAAAUAGAACCACAAAGAAAAUAUCAGAACACAUUGCACUUAGUAAAGAUGGAGUCUCGCUAUGUUGCCCAGGCUGGACUUGAACUCCUGUACUCAAGCCAUCCUCCCGCCCCUGCCUCUUGAAGUGCUGGGAUUACAGAACAAGGGGGAGUCUCCCUGCACAAGCUCUCUCUCUUUGCCUGCUGUCAUCCACCUAAGAUGUAACUUGCUCCUCCUUGCCUUCCACCAUGAUUGUGAGGCUUCCCCAGCCACGUGGAACUGCUUCUUCUCUGGUUUCCUGUUCUGACCUCCUCUCAACCAUGAAUGCCUAUACUGUGUUGGUGGCCCUGAUGAAGAAAUGUGCUUCUUCAUUUAGACCCAGGAUGGCUGACGGUUUUCUGAUUGAUUCGUAGCAAAACCUGGAAAGCUAGAUUGAGCGAUUUAAAGCCCAGGCCAAGUGCAGCAGCUUGCUUGAGUCCUGGUGGAAAAGGCCUUGUAUGGAAGCCCCAGGGACAACUUCCACCACUGAGGAAUUUUCAGUCUUCUGCAUCUGUCAAUCAACUGAACCAUUUAUAGCUGGUGUCUUCUUUUCUCGUGCCCAUAAGCCCUGUCACUGUUGAGCUGGGCCCACCUUAAGACUGAUGUCCUUUGCAAUUUCUGGGACUACUGCAAGUGCUCCUAACUGUCCUCCCUGCCUCCAGCCUUCCAACCUGCAGCCACUCGAGUUGCCUUCCUACACGUCAGAGCCGACCAUGCCAUUCUCCUGCUUAAAAACCCAUCUCACUGGCUAUGGGACCAAAUGAAACCUUCAAUGCUUGACACACAAGCCUUUUCCAACGUGGCCGACAAACACACACUUGCACAAACACACCCACACACACAUACUUAUUAAUUCAGUAACACAGACAUUUAGCAGUUCACCAAACAUGCCUGAUUUUUCACAACUCUGCAUACUCUGUUUCCUCUAUCUAGAAUGUUCUUCCCUGUCUGUAUCUGGCAAACCCUAAAUCCCGCACGAUGCUUUGCCUAACCUCUCAGGUAGACCCGCAGUGUUGCUGCUGUGAAAGGAAAAUAACUCUUGGGACCCCCAAAUCACUACACUAAAGAAAAAAGUCAAGCUGGAAAUUGCUUAAGGCAAAACUGCCUCCCAUUCUAUUCAGAGUCAUCCCUCUGCUCACUGAAAUAAAUGCGUAUCUGAUUGCCUCCUUCUGAAAGGCUAAUCAGAAACUCAAUGCAAAUGGUUAUUGAGAAACCAAUGGUUAUUUGUCUCUCACCUACUUAUGACCUGGAAGCACCACCCCCCCGCCCUCACCUUUCUGGACAGAACCAAUGUACAUCUUACAUAUAUUGAUUGAUGUCUCAUGUCUCCCUAAAAUGUAUGAAACCAAGCUGUGCCCUGACUACCUUGAGCAUAUAUCGUCAGGACCUCCUGAGGCUGUGUUAUGGGCAUGCAUCCUUAACUUUGGCAAAAUAAACUUUCUAAAUUGAUGAAGACCUGUCUCACAUAUUUUGAGUUAAUAAUUUGGUGACCAACGUAAGUGACUCGGAAUGGAGGUGGCUCUGGCCUUUGGAAAAUCUUCUAUGGCCACUUGGUACAAGCUUGAGCUAUCUUUAUGGCUCAAACUGUCACAGGCGUUUGAAUCAGAGCAACUCCAUUUUGAAUAUGGGCUGGGUGAGGUAAGGCUAAAACCUACCGGGCUGCAUUCCCGGGAUGUUAGACAUUCUAAGUCACAGGAUAAGAUAGGAGGUCAACACAAGAUACGGAUCAUAAAGACCUUGCUGAUAAAACAGGAUGUGGCAAAGAAGCUAGCCAAAACUCACCAAAACCAAGAUGGCAAUGAAAGUGACCUCUGGUCGUCCUCACUGCUUAGCAUGCGUUAGCAUGUUAAGAGACACUCCCACCAGCACCAUGACAGUUUACAGAUGCCAUGGCAACAUCAGGAAGUUACCCUAUAUGGUCUAAAAAGGAGACAAACCCUCAGUUGUGGGAAUUACCUACCCCUUUCCUGGAAAACUCAUGAAUAAUGUACCCCUUGUUUAGCAUAUAAUCAAGAAGUAGCAAUAAGCAUCAUCAGUACAGCAGCCCAUGCUGCUGCUCUGCCUAUGGAGUAGCCAUUCAUUCUUCCUUUACUUUCCUAAUAAACUUGCUUUCACUUUACUCUAUGGACUCGCUCCAAAUUCUUUCUUGGGUGAGAUCCAAACCCUUUCUUGGGGUCUAGAUUGGGACCCCUUUCUGAUAACAUCUUCCUGGCAAACUUCAAAGGGGUGAUACUGAGGAGACCCACCCCCCAACAACAAAGGAAACAGGUCGCAGCACCAAUCAGCUGACUUUGGGUGAGUGGUGAGGUAUCUGGGUAAAGGAUGGGAUUGGGUUAGAGGCCCAGCUUAGGGGAGUUAGAGUUUCUCCCAAGACAGAGUGGGGUUAAAGGCCCCUCUUAAUAAGGGCAAGGACACCUGACCAAACUUGGGUUGGAAGCCCAACUUAGGAAGGUUAGAGUCCUUCCUAAGAGUUAAGGGGUUAGAAACCGCCCCCUCCCCGCAGUAAAAUCCCUCUCUGCUAAGAAUGGGUUCAGCACUACGGGGUGUUAUACGCUAUUCUCUUUGGAUUAAUCUGCCUUGCACUCUUUGCUGAUGGCUGUGGGUGACAGGAUUAAGCAGGUACAGGAUCAUGGGACAUUGGGAGUCUUUUCCUCCCUGAUGGAGGAAACUUGAGAGCCGAUGGGACUGCUGGAAAAGAUCCCUUUGUGACUGACAAGCAGCCGCCUGAACUUUUUGAUUCAGUGCAAUGGGUGGGUCUUUCUCUGGCCUCCCUGAGUGCCUUGCCUUCCCUACCCUGCCGCAGGCAGUGCUUUUCUCUCUCUUUCUCAACUUUCUCUUUGUUAUCUUUUCUGUUACUCAGGGCAACCAUCUUGCCCAGAGACCGCAUGUUGAAACCCCUGGUAGAAGAUCAUUCCAACACACUUUGAAUGGAUCAAAGGUGACGAGUCCAACUGGGGAAAAAUUUGAGUCUUGCCAGUUCAAUAUUGGGUCCUAAGUGGAGUGGCUAAUGUCUGUGUUUUGUCACAGGUAUUUUGCUCUGGCUGGAAUAGAAAAUGUUAAUUCUGUUCCCCCAGGCAGCCGGUUGGGCAGCCACUUGCAAAAUUGAGAGGAUUUUGCCUAUGGUUUCAUGAUUUUCCUUUGUGUUGUG